AGAGUUUGAUCCUGGCUCAGGACGAACGCUGGCGGCGUGCCUAAUACAUGCAAUUCGAACGAACUCUGGUAUUGAUUGGUGCUUGCAUCAUGAUUUACAUUUGAGUGAGUGGCGAACUGGUGAGUAACACGUGGGAAACCUGCCCAGAAGCGGGGGAUAACACCUGGAAACAGAUGCUAAUACCGCAUAACAACUUGGACCGCAUGGUCCGAGUUUGAAAGAUGGCUUCGGCUAUCACUUUUGGAUGGUCCCGCGGCGUAUUAGCUAGAUGGUGGGGUAACGGCUCACCAUGGCAAUGAUACGUAGCCGACCUGAGAGGGUAAUCGGCCACAUUGGGACUGAGACACGGCCCAAACUCCUACGGGAGGCAGCAGUAGGGAAUCUUCCACAAUGGACGAAAGUCUGAUGGAGCAACGCCGCGUGAGUGAAGAAGGGUUUCGGCUCGUAAAACUCUGUUGUUAAAGAAGAACAUAUCUGAGAGUAACUGUUCAGGUAUUGACGGUAUUUAACCAGAAAGCCACGGCUAACUACGUGCCAGCAGCCGCGGUAAUACGUAGGUGGCAAGCGUUGUCCGGAUUUAUUGGGCGUAAAGCGAGCGCAGGCGGUUUUUUAAGUCUGAUGUGAAAGCCUUCGGCUCAACCGAAGAAGUGCAUCGGAAACUGGGAAACUUGAGUGCAGAAGAGGACAGUGGAACUCCAUGUGUAGCGGUGAAAUGCGUAGAUAUAUGGAAGAACACCAGUGGCGAAGGCGGCUGUCUGGUCUGUAACUGACGCUGAGGCUCGAAAGUAUGGGUAGCAAACAGGAUUAGAUACCCUGGUAGUCCAUACCGUAAACGAUGAAUGCUAAGUGUUGGAGGGUUUCCGCCCUUCAGUGCUGCAGCUACGCAUUAAGCAUUCCGCCUGGGGAGUACGGCCGCAAGGCUGAAACUCAAAGGAAUUGACGGGGGCCCGCACAAGCGGUGGAGCAUGUGGUUUAAUUCGAAGCUACGCGAAGAACCUUACCAGGUCUUGACAUACUAUGCAAAUCUAAGAGAUUAGACGUUCCCUUCGGGGACAUGGAUACAGGUGGUGCAUGGUUGUCGUCAGCUCGUGUCGUGAGAUGUUGGGUUAAGUCCCGCAACGAGCGCAACCCUUAUUAUCAGUUGCCAGCAUUAAGUUGGGCACUCUGGUGAGACUGCCGGUGACAAACCGGAGGAAGGUGGGGAUGACGUCAAAUCAUCAUGCCCCUUAUGACCUGGGCUACACACGUGCUACAAUGGAUGGUACAACGAGUUGCGAACUCGCGAGAGUAAGCUAAUCUCUUAAAGCCAUUCUCAGUUCGGAUUGUAGGCUGCAACUCGCCUACAUGAAGUCGGAAUCGCUAGUAAUCGCGGAUCAGCAUGCCGCGGUGAAUACGUUCCCGGGCCUUGUACACACCGCCCGUCACACCAUGAGAGUUUGUAACACCCAAAGUCGGUGGGGUAACCUUUUAGGAACCAGCCGCCUAAGGUGGGACAGAUGAUUAGGGUGAAGUCGUAACAAGGUAGCC
rnacentral:rRNA from 2 species